GGGGCAAGCUAGAGGGAGGGGGAAAAAUAUAUUUUCUGGGUUGUUACAAAGAGGAAAAGCUAGCUUGGGGACAAGGGAGGAAGGAGUUUUCACAGAGACAGUGGGAGACCAUGAGAUAGUGUAAGAAACUUGGAGUCGCAGGCUGUUUGAGAAAGGGGUAGCUUGGAGAGGGGGUUUUGGGGUGAUAGAGAGAUAUUUUUUUGGAGUUGCUUGGGAGUGUAAGGAAACGAAUGAGAGAUAUUUUUCCUGGUUAUAGCUUGAGAGAGAAACCUACUGAGAGAGCUGAAGCUGAGGAAUAGAGAUUUUUGGGCUGGUUCUUGGAAAGAAAUGAGAACUUGAAGACAAUCCGGUUCAAAUAGACGUUCUAGGUAGUUCAUUGUGAACUAUGCAUUUUCUCAUUUUGGAUGUUAUUUUACUUGGUGUCACUAUUGUUGAGGCCUCGCGUCCCUGGUGAUCCACGUAGUUGCCAAAUGGAUGGACGCACGAUCUCAACCAAUAUAGAUUCCUAGUUCAGUCAUCCCUACAAAAGGCGUCCGGACACACCCUCCGAUGAUUUUGUCAGCCAUGAUUCCGAGAAAUAAAUCAGUUGGUCUUUUACUAGGACCAUCAUCACUCGUAGGGCGGCUGACAGAGAUCGUGGGAGGCACCGCAGCUGUCAAAGAUCGUAGGAAGUGACUUGCCAUCAUUCAUGUCCUUUCACUCUGCAUGUGGCGAAACGUGAGCCAUGACAGGCUGUCGAAAUGACGUAGUAAGAUUUGCUUACUUUAGUCAACGAUCCGGACAAACAUAUCCAGAUAGGAUAUGUCGGUCGUCCGGAUGUAAUAUGACGAUCGUCCGGAUGUGAUGUUCGCGAGUGUCGUGUGCUUCUCCAUGAGGAAGUCCGGAUAGGAGAAGCACGCCACGUGUCUCCUUUGGGGGAAAUCCGGAUGGAGUUAAUCUGGAUAGAAAUGCGUGUCACGUGUCAUGGGGAGGGGUCCCUACAACUAUGGAUUUUUGCGUUAUCCAUGCAUUUGUGCUACUGAUUCUUCCUAUGUUUCCUUGAUUUGGUUUGAAAAACUAGUGAGGCUCUUUAUCAUGUUCACUAUGGAGUAUCUAUAUACAUCGACUGCAUUUUUUUGCUUUGAA